AUUUGUAUAUCCGCCUGUGAGACGCAGAUCAUUGAAACUUCGUCGGUAAUCAUGCCGCUGCCAAAGAGAAAAGGGAUUCAGGGCAUAUACAACUAUUUAGUUUAUGGACAAAAACUGAAUAAACGGACGAUAGAAAAUUUGAAGUUGGGCAGACUUACAAUAAUAGUUUUGUUAUUUUCCAUUGGGUUCAACAAAUUCACACAAAGAAAUAUGGGUCCGCCGAGGGUGUCUAAGUUGGAGUUAGAGGACACCGAGUCUGAAUCACCCGAACUUUUUCACAACUUGAACCACCACAACGACAGUGACCGUGCAAAAAAAGUGUGAAUCAAGCUGAAUUCCGACAGUGGUGAUCAAUGAUGAAAGAUUUUAGAAGAUGAUGUGUGAUCCGAAGAUUCUACUCACAAGUCCGAUGAUGGACAUGUACAGCUUACAUAAGAGUGUUGGACAAUUUGACAGCUCAUGUCCAUUUAAGGAUUCUUUUGAAGUUUAGUCAACGUUAGUAAAACUUUUUAUUUGAUGCUUCUAUCAUUGUUUAUACACCAGUGAACUUCCCAUUAUGAUCCAGAUCCAAUAUACAGCUGCUUCCAGCGGGAUUGGGCAGGGCAAGAAUGCUGUAAACCUGUAGUGGAACUUACCAUAAGCAUUAGCUUAAUUUGUGAUGUUAAUAAUAAAAAAUAUGAGGAAAACUUGAAGUAAAGUAAUUAUUAAUUAAUGAAAUCUAAGAAACUAGUGGCUAUAUAUCCUUAAAAUGUGAUAAAUAAAUCAUGAAUGUAAACACUGUGCUUGUGUAUUGAUUUAAAGAUUAGCCAUCCUGUUUAAGAUUCAAACUUUUAUCCAGUGAUUAUUACUGUCUUGUAUUAUCCUGAACGCUACUUGUGAAAAUAAUGAAAUUCAGCAGGAGUGGUUGUGAGGAUGAAUGCGUGAAUGUGUUUUCUUUUACAAAAUUGUAUGUAUGUCUAGCAGUGUAUAUGUACUUCAUCUCUUUUCUUCUCAGAAAAGCAUGUUUCUAAAUAAAUAAAAUGUGAUUGACAA